GGUAUUGCAAAACACAAAGCUAGAGGAUAUUUGGGAAAGACGGAAAAAAAAAAAGAAGGUUAUUCAUCCUUCCAUAUGGCUUUUUAAAGUCAUUUACAAUUAUGUGCCGUUUAUGGUAGUUUCUAUAAAUUUUUUUCCGUUGGGAAGGCAGAAGACUGAAUACGUUUGUGGAUGCAUCACAAGAGAGAAGAAAUUCAGAAUGACAAUGGAAUUUAGUUAAUUGUUUGAGGAUCUGCACGUGAUAAUGACACUGUUAACCAGGAGAAUGGAGAGUGUGAUCUCAUUUGUUUUUCCAGAGAGAGAUUUCAAGAACUUAACCAGAAAUUAAAGUUGCUAGUGAUAGUGUGAAACGUAAGCAAUAACAGUCCUACCGCAAUUACGCAUCUGAUUGGAAAGUACAGUAUAUCAGAUGUCUUAGAGCCUGUGUUUGUUCAUAUAUCUGGUGCCCAUGGAAAUGCACUUCAAGAGAAAGGAGAAGUGUGGAGCUUUCUCAAGAUGUAUGUAGAUAACUUUAUAUGAUACACAAUUUAAACCACGUGCCAUGCCACCAAUUCAUGUCCUUGGCCUCUUAUGAUUAAACCGUAAGGAGAUUUAUAGACAUUCGGGUCUAAAUGGGAUUCUUGGAGCUUUCAUACAUAGUCCAUUCCAUAGCUGCCAAGUAAAGACUUUCUUACACAAUUCCAGCAAAAUUGGAAGACAUUUUAAUUGUCGAAUUAUUCACAGAUCUUCACCAACAACCCCUCUCUCCCAGUACACCACCAUUUGACAAGUCCCAAUCUUGUAUCUUAUAGAUGGAAUUUUCAUAACCUUUCUACUAGGGCUGGCUUUCUGUUUUUUUUGGAAAUAAUUCUUGGAACCUCUCAAAAUUCUCUGUAGCUUCCUAAAAUUGAGAAGUCAAACCAUGGCACUUCCUCAAGAGCACUAACUUUGGACAUGGACAGACCCAAGGAGGAGUCUCAGCUUGGCCAGAUAGCUCUGAAUUUGGAGCCUCAAAAUUUCAAGAAAUUAAAUCUUCUCUGAAGAAGAGUGCCAUCUACAGAGGAAGGCACUCUUGGUGUUCCGUUUAGUGAAGUGCCACUCUGAUGCAGUAAACCACGUUCUGGAGGCUGGAAGUAGGGGAUCCUGCAUCUAAAGUGCACAGCCUUCCCAGGAUUAGUCUCUUGGCUGUCUCACUGUGCAGCUAGUAAUUCAGAGAUAAUCAUGUUACCAAGAUGCCAUUUAAUCUGCAUUUGGCAUAUCUCAAGUUUUCAUCUUCAUUAAUAGAGCCAUCAAAGUUUCAUUGGGUCUGACUGCUAUUGGACACACUAGUGAUUCACCCAGAGGGGGGGUUUGCAGUUUGCAUGGAGAGACUCUGCUUGCCAGAUGGCAGCUGUUAAUCUGCCUGCAUCAGGGGUGCGAGGGGGGCUAAGCUCCUUGGGCCCAUAGCCAAUGGGGCUAUCCCUCACCUCUGAUCACACAUCGUUGCCGGCACCAGGCUGGGGAUCCUGAGCCCCUCUGGCAGGGUCGAUCUCCACUCCCUGCAGGCUGGGGGGAAUGGAUGCCUGGUAAAGGGAAGGGAUGCUUUUUCUGGUCUUCUUACUGUGUCCCUGCUGCCUCUAGCAUAGGCCACUGAAUCAAAAGAUACCUGUGGAAGGCAGUUUUGCUCCAGUGGAAGGGCGCAAAGCUGGGAGUCAGAGUAAUUUGGCUUGGAAUCCCGACUCUAUGUGAAGUUGGGCAUAUCACUUAACCUCUUUUAGCUUCAGAUUCUCCUGUUUGCAUGAUAUGAAGCUGAUGCUGUGGCCAUGGUAGGUCCUCCAUAGAGUAGUCAGGGCAGGGGAGCCAGAUGGAGACCUAUCCAUCAGUCCCAUGUGGCGCUCUUGGGUGUAGAGCCCAGAGAAACUCUUAUACAGGUCCCUGAGGGGGCUGGAUAAGGAUGGCAUCACAGUAUUGUUUGUGGUAGUGAGGAUGGUGGCAGCCUAGGAGUUCCUCAGGUGGGAGAGAUGAUAGGAUGUUAGGGAGGCUUACCACGCAACACUGUGCAACAGUUUGAAGUAGUGUAGAGAAAUCUUAAAAACUGUGUUGGGAGAAAAAGAACAGAACAAAGUCUGUGGACAUCAUUUGUAUAAAUUAAAAAUACACACACAGAACAAGGAUAUACUAUGUGUUUCACGAGGAUACGUACACAUUCAAGGAUAUCAUCAAAGCUAAUAGUGCUGUUGCUUGUGGGCUGGGGACAAAAUGGGUGAAGGGAAAUGGGAUGAAAGGUGAUGAACAAAUGAGCGAAGGGCCUGUACAAACUUAAAAUGACAGCAUGCUAUGAGUACAGGAACAUGACUUAUCCAGUGUUCUGCCCCUGGAUCUGAAAGCAAAAGGAAAGAUCGAGAAAAAAGUCAUGGCCUCAAUUAAAAAAAAAAGCCACGGGGAGGUAGACGAUCUACUGAGAGUAGUGUUGUGGGGGCUUUAGGAUCAGGCGUAAGGACAGGUAACUGCGUGGCUGUGGAAUAGCUUUCCAUUGGGCCUCGCUCUCUCUCUUUUGGGAAGAAGUCUUAUGAAAAAUGUGAGACUGGAAUGAAGCAGAAUAGACUGGGAUACUCAUUUGCUCUUGUCUGAACUCUCAAUCAUCACAGACCCUCACUUCCUGAAGGCACGUCCCCAAUUUUUCCCAAUUCUUAUUGUAGACCCAAUUUUUGUCACUUGGUCCCUGUAGAGCUUUACAAAAGUGUGAUGCUCAUUCUUGUUAAACCAGUUGGGAAUUUCCUUGAUCCCCAACUCUUUGGCCCUGCACAGAAGUGUAGCUGCUCUUCCAGUAAAUGAGAGCUUUGCACACAGUAGGGCAGAAGGAUAUUACUGUGUGAGAAAGGACCACAGGGAAACUCCCAUCAUUUUCCUAGAAUCUGAGAAAAAAAAAUUACAAAUGUGUGAUGGGGCACACUCUGUGGUCUUCUUUUGUUAAUUUAUGAAUUGCAAGAGGAAGGUAGACUUAUUGGAAUAGUAUAAUUAAGUGUCACCGUGGUAUGGAUAGUAAUUACCACCAAGUAUAAUGAAGCAGGGAAAGAAACAAUGUCCCUCCUGGAUGGCAUCAUCCAUAUAAGCCUUGUCUUCUUCAAAGCUCUGUGUCCAUUUCCUUUAAAUACAGUAAAUAAGGCAGGCAUAAAUAAAGAACAAAAUCUGAAAAGGAGGAUGAAAUGAUCUAUAAUCUGCUUCCUUUCUUGGAAGCUAAACUUUUGAGAGAACAUUGGAGACAAAAAUCAGCAAGACCUCUCUGGGCUAAGAGAGGCUACUAUUGCGCCACACUUCUAUUCAUUACCACCAUCUCCGUCUCCUACUCUUUCUCCUCCUUUCCUCCCUUCCUCCUCCUCCUCCUUCUUGAUUGCCCAAUCAGAUGCCUUAUCCCUCGGAAGGCAGUGAUUAGUUCAAGGAUGGGUAUAUGACCCAGGCCAAGUCAAUUGAAGGCUUCCCUGGGACUUUGGUUGGUGAUAUAAAGAAAGAGGUGCUCCCAUUUCUAGGAGAGCCAUAUAUAAUCCAGUUACUGCUGAUGGAAAGAGCCUGACUGAGAAGGAAGCCAGUGAAGAGAAAAACAGAGCAGAGCAGGAGCAAUAGAGAUGGACGAGAUGCCAUUCCCUGAGCGCCUGCCUCCAGCCAUGCUUGAAACCAGAGGUCUCUGGACUCUUCACUUACAUGAACUAAUCAAGCACUAUUCUGGUUUUAGCUGGUUUGAGUUGACUUUUUAUCAUUUACAAACCAAAGAUUUCUGUGUAACGUGCCACGCAAGUAAGGCAGAUACUGCUGUACCAGGGAGCAUGUGCUCAUUUAUCAAACAUUUAGUGUAAGGUUACUUUAUGCCAGAAAAAGCCUUUCCACAGCAAAGUCACGUGACUCAUUGAGUCAUUUUCAAAGAAAAAGAGCAAAUCUAUGGGUAGUUCAAGAAUACCUGACAUAUCCUCGGGUAUCUGAAUAAGUUUGUGUGUGUGGACACGUGUAUGUGUCCAUUAACUUCAAUAACUAAAGAGUAAUAUGACCAUAUGUUGGGUUACCUGGAUCGCAUAAUAUAACUAGACGUGAUUCAUGAAUUCUUUGCGAGCACUUUCAUGUGCAUGAGGGCAUGAAGAACUAGUUUAUUGCUAAUAGGUUGAUGAGCUGUGUGACUUUAGGCAAUUGACUCAACUUCUCUGAGCUUUCAUCUGUAAAGUGCUGAUAGUAAUAGUCUCUACAUUAACCGAUUGUUGUGAGUAAGAAAUGAGCAAAUACGUGUAAAGUGCUUAGCACAGUGGCUGGCACAUAAUAAAAUCACUCAAUAAGUCAUAGCUUUAUUACCAUCAUCAUCAUCAUGAAGAAAGCUUCCCCAGUACUUUGAAUACUUUGCAUGCAUGUAGUGCUUUAUUUACGGUUUACCGUGUACUUUUGCAUACAUCAUCCAAUUUGAUAUGGUGGGUCUACAAUGCCUUGCAAUAGCCAUUUCCUAUUUUGGCUUCUUGCGAGAUGAUAAGGGCAGUUUUUUCCAAGGUUUCCGUGAUAUUUGGCACGAUAGACUGAACCUAGUAUCACAUUACGAGUGACGGAGAGGUGCAUUUGCUUCAGCAGAAGAGUUUUAAAAAAAGGAAACAUUUUUAGCACAAAUGUGGCCUGGUCCUGAGUAUCUUUAAUCAAGGCUGGAAGGUUAACUGCUCAAGAAAACUUGAGUUACAGCUGUUACGCUUGUGAACAGACCCAAUCAGGGGAGAUGAAAUGCUAUUUUGACGAGAGUGUCUUUCUUUUUCUUUUCCUUAAUACGUCACUGAUAUCAAAAAGAAACCUGAGGCAAACUCAUCUUUUUUGUCAUUGGUCAUUUCAAAUAGUCUUAAAGUUGGACUUCCUGAAAGACUUCGUGUGUUUCCUGUUACCAACAUAAGCAGAUUGUUGAAUUUGACACAUUGAAGUAUUUUCUUUGUUUAUGGAAUUUUUUCACAAAGGCAUGCUUUCAAAAUGCUAAAAUACAGAUCCAUAGUAAGAUCUUCUUUGCACAAGAAAAUAUUCUUCAAUUAAACAACUGGGUAAAAAUCCUCAAUUGUAUUGUUUAAGGGAAUGUUACACUUUUGAUUGUACACAAAUUUCUAGAAUAAGAAAAGGCCUUGAUUUACUCAUUCAGCAAAGUGUGCUAGUAAUUCUCUCUUUUAGUUUUGGAUCUGGAUGUUGUUUUAUCUAAUUCAGGGAAAACACAGCUUCUUUAUUAACCGUUAAGGGGACGGCGGUGGUCCAAAAGGAAAGAUUUGUACAUUUUUACUCGUAUAAAUUUUAAUAAUCUCUUGUACAAAAACCAAAAAUAAACCAAGAAGCAUAAAAACAAAGUUUUCUUGGGUAUUUAGAUGAUUUCCUCUUUGUCAGAGUCCCUGUGAGAAGCUGGAAGAAAUAUUGGGUUCUGAAUUUUUCUCCUCUGUGUAGGGUACUCCUGUAGCCCGUUACUAAGUGACUUCUGAUGUUGCAACACACACGCACGCACACACACACAAGCACACACACACACAGAGUCAAGAAGUGUUCUUCCUUUUGUGUCAUUGAUUUACUGAUCUAGUGCCUACCUACAUUCUUAGAGUAGCUUAUCAAGAGUGCUUAGUUCUCCCUUCUUCGUUGUCCAUCACACGAAGGCCAAAUUCUAGAUUUAUAUGUUGACACUCAUAAUUAUGGACACCAAUCAUUAUAUGAAGAUAAGCCAUAAUAUUUAGGUUUUUCAAAUACUGAACGCGUUUUAAAUGACAGGGAGCCAGAUUCUCCUAAUGCUUAAGCAAUUGCUUAAUAGUAAAUUAGCCACCCUUAGAAGCCGCAUUAAAAUACGCUGCGGAAAUUAUUUGGUAAUACACAGAAGAGGUCUGUUCGCAUUGGUGAAGAGUCUGUCCCAGAGAAAGGAGCUACAGCUUCGUAUUAUCAGUGAGCAAUUUAGCUACCUUACUGCCAUGUAUUCCAGAAGUGAUGCUCAAAUUUUAAAUGUAAACUUAGCAAAUACCACUCAUGUGUUUUGGGGAGAUGGUGCACGUUCAGCUCCAUAUUCCAUACACAAAGGGAACCUGGCUGUGCCUAGGUCUCAUUUAUCUAUGGGCGCACAUGAGGUCAAAUUAACAUUAAUAGUUCUUGAGAGCCACCCCUGGACACCAACAGGACCUCCUGUGCACGCCCCGCUCCCUUCCAUUGCUCCAUCUGGGCUCUGUUGGGCUCCACAGUUCUCCAGGGCUGCUCACCGUGGAAUCAGAGUUGCUGUGAGGUCUGUGCUAGAGUGUGUGUGGGAGGGCCUCUGUCUGUGUGUCACACUUCAUCACUUCAGCCUGGAGGCAGCACAAUUUGGACCUGAGUCUCACAGUGGCUUUCAUCAAAAUUGCUCCUUCGGCCUCAUCCUGCAGCGUCUCGAUAGAGUGUCAGACUGAGUUUCCGGCACUGCCCGGGAAACAGACAGCAUCCCCUUCCAUCUACCUGGCUUCCCACGUCUUUACGGAUGCCUAUGCUCCGAAGUUCUUCUCUUUCAGUCCCAACCUCCAACAAUGUUGGACAUGAACUCAUGCAAAUAAAUGAAUUCAAACAAAUGGGGAGCGAGGAAAGGAGUCUGUGGCCCCACGAGUCUCCGCACAUAUUUUGCUACCGUUAGUAUAUUUCAUUUUAAUGGAUCAUUUUAGAGAUGGCUUGAGCAUGGUGAUGAUUUGGUCUCAAAGGAUAAAUAGACCCAGAAGUUUAAUAAAAAUCUUCUUUUGUGAUUUUGUGGUUAUGACUGCGUUGGACUCUUAAGAAAUGUACUAUUACUAGAUGAUGGUACAGGUACAGAGAUCAUCACAGAAAGUGAAUAGGAAUUUAAAUAAAUUUGUGAAAGAUCAAAAUAACAAGCUUGCCGUGAUGAUUUUUCAGGGCAGAUCAGAGAUCGAAGAGACGUGGGAGUGUUCAGUAGUCAGUGACUUCUGCAUGAUAUUUGCAUAGAGAGAACUUUAAAAAGGUUACAUUUCUCUUCUACUUUCAUAUUUACUUCAUGUUAAGGUUAUAGGAUCUUGUUGGCAGUGUUGCCGAUGCUAUUUUUAUAAACUCCAACUCAGUGUUCAAAUGCAGUAGGAUGGAAAUUUUGAGCCUCAACAACAAUAAAUAUGUUUUAUGGGCCUGUAACAUUCAAGCUGUAGUAUGUCUCAGAGUCAGCGAAGGCUCUUUUCUGCCUAGAACUCUGAAGGGAGAAAGAAACUUUUGUUUAUAAAUUUCAGAGAUUUUUGUCUUUGCACUCAUCACGAAGCCAAACGGAGAUAUAAUCCACUUUAAACAGUUUUGGUCAAGUAUCAAAUAUGCCUGUUUUUUGAUAAGGGAAAAAAAAUCCCCUUUUGCCAAUGUAAGUUCUCCAGUCUGUGUUGCAGUGUAUGACUUCUGUCGGUCAAGCUGUGAUCUGUGCACUUAUGCAAUACUGAUCCUGAACAGGAAGUAAGGGGGAGAUAUGUAAUCUGGCACAUCUUUCUGAUCCACUUCAGUUAUGCCUGAUUCUGAAUCGACUUAUAGCAUUUAACAUAAAAAGACAGUUGUUUCUUAUAUUUUUUAUUCCUCCCUCCAAAAAAUGCAAAAUUUUUUAUGCUUAUCUAGGCAAAAUAGUCUGAGGUAUUCAAAAUCGAUCAAAGAUUAUUUAAUUUGUGCUGCAAUGUGUUCUAUAUCAGAUUCCUUUACAAAGAUAUUUGGUAACAGAACAAUUGUGUGGGUAUGUAUAAAUUUUUUGACUCUCUUAGAUGAGUGUACUAAAUACUUACAUGUGUGUACUAGACUAUAGGUGCCUUGAAGGGCAGGGCUGUGUUGUAUUGUUCAUUUUGUCAACCCCACAACACGUAGUGGAAGGCUCUAGAGAAAUAAAACACUGGUUUAUAAUUGUA